AGAGAUAGAAGAAAUAGAGGACACAAAGAUCGACAAAGUAAUGAAAAUAUGUCAGAACCUAGCCCAAGAUAGGAGAAGAUGAAGAAAAUCAUAGAAAUUGGCAAUGGAUUGUGAUGCUAAUGACAUUAAGUGAUCUUAAAUAUGUGUCUUAGAAUUCUUAGUUUCUUAAUUUGUCUCAUGCUUUCCGUAAUAUUUUAAUUC
rnacentral:lncRNA from 1 species